CUCAGAUUGAACGCUGGCGGCAGGCCUAACACAUGCAAGUCGAGCGGUAACAGAGAGUAGCUUGCUACUUUGCUGACGAGCGGCGGACGGGUGAGUAAUGCUUGGGAACAUGCCUUGAGGUGGGGGACAACAGUUGGAAACGACUGCUAAUACCGCAUAAUGUCUACGGACCAAAGGGGGCUUCGGCUCUCGCCUUUAGAUUGGCCCAAGUGGGAUUAGCUAGUUGGUGAGGUAAUGGCUCACCAAGGCGACGAUCCCUAGCUGGUUUGAGAGGAUGAUCAGCCACACUGGGACUGAGACACGGCCCAGACUCCUACGGGAGGCAGCAGUGGGGAAUAUUGCACAAUGGGCGCAAGCCUGAUGCAGCCAUGCCGCGUGUGUGAAGAAGGCCUUCGGGUUGUAAAGCACUUUCAGUCAGGAGGAAAGGUUAGUAGUUAAUACCUGCUAGCUGUGACGUUACUGACAGAAGAAU
rnacentral:rRNA from 1 species